AUCAUAUAUACAACGACGAUACUCAGUGAAUUUUCAGUGAUAUAAU
rnacentral:guide_RNA from 1 species